CGCGCCUACCAUGCAAGUCGAGCGAGACCUUCGGGUCUAGCGGCGGACGGGUUAGUAACGCGUGGGAACGUACCUUUUGCUUCGGAAUAGCCUCGGGAAACUGGGAGUAAUACCGAAUGUGCCCUUUGGGGGAAAGAUUUAUCGGCAAAAGAUCGGCCCGCGUCUGAUUAGAUAGUUGGUGGGGUAAUGGCCUACCAAGUCUGCGAUCAGUAGCUGGUUUGAGAGGAUGAUCAGCAACACUGGGACUGAGACACGGCCCAGACUCCUACGGGAGGCAGCAGUGGGGAAUCUUAGACAAUGGGCGCAAGCCUGAUCUAGCGAUGCCGCGUGAGUGACGAAGGCCUUAGGGUCGUAAAGCUCUUUCGCCAGGGAUGAUAAUGACAGUACCUGGUAAAGAAACCCCGGCUAACUCCGUGCCAGCAGCCGCGGUAAUACGGAGGGGGUUAGCGUUGUUCGGAAUUACUGGGCGUAAAGCGCACGUAGGCGGAUUAGAAAGUUGGGGGUGAAAUCCCAGGGCUCAACCCUGGAACUGCCUCCAAAACUACUAGUCUAGAGUUCGAGAGAGGUGAGUGGAAUUCCGAGUGUAGAGGUGAAAUUCGUAGAUAUUCGGAGGAA
rnacentral:rRNA from 1 species